UCAGGUAGAGAAUACUCAGGCGCUUGAGAGAACUCGGGUGAAGGAACUAGGCAAAAUGGUGCCGUAACUUCGGGAGAAGGCACGCUGGCGGUAAGUGAAAUCCCUUGCGGAUGGAGCCGAAGCCAGUCGAAGAUACCAGCUGGCUGCAACUGUUUAUUAAAAACACAGCACUGUGCAAACACGAAAGUGGACGUAUACGGUGUGACGCCUG
rnacentral:rRNA from 1 species